rnacentral:rRNA from 1 species
AUAUGUGUACCAAAGAAAAAGGGAGGAAUGGGAUUUAGAGACUUGCAUUGCUUCAAUUUGGCUCUUUAGCCAAAGCAAUGUUGGAGGUUGGUACGUGAGCCAGAAUCAUUAUGUGCCAGAGUUUUGAGAGCCAAAUAUUUUCCCAAUGGAGAUCUUCUUAACUGCAGCCUUAAGAAAGGGAGCUCUUAUACGUGGCAGAGUCUUUGGAGUGGUAUUCAGUCUUUCAAGCGAGGGCAUAUUUGGAGAGUUGGUGAUGGGUCCCAAAUUAAUAUCUGGGAAGACCCUUGGAUACCAACCAGCUCUACAUGCAAGGUAAUGCCACCAAGAGUUAACAUUGUGGUCACAAAAGUUUCCAAGCUUAUUGAUACAGAAAAUAGAGUGUGGGAUGAACAGUUGAUAUCGGACUUGUUUUGGCCUAUUGAUGUCCAAUGCAUAUUAGAUAUCCCAUUGGCUCUGGGAAUGAUGGAUGACUUUGUAUCAUGGCACUUUAAUAGGAGUGGGAUUUUUUUGGUUAGAUCAACAUACCAUGAAGAAUGGGAGCAUCAACACGGACGAAAGUUGAGGAUGACUAACUCUAUACAAGCCUCAAGUACUGGUCCAGUUUGGUGUACCAUUUGGAAAUUGCGUGCGCUGGCAUAA